AUAGGCUUAAAUAUAUCUUUAGUCCCUGCACUUUCAUCAGAUUUUAGCAUUGGUCCCUACACUUUUUUUUGUUUGGAAUUGGUCCUGCACUUUGUAAAAAUAUUGGUAUUGGUCCCUCUGUUAAUUUUCUGUUAAAAAAAAAAAACACAAAACUAUUGGUAUUAGUCCAUGCACUUUGUAAAAAUAUUGGUAUUGGUCCCUGCACUUUGUAAAAAUAUUGAUAUUGGUGCCACAUGGUGUGAAAUGAUUGGACCACGUGGCACUUCGUUAGUUUUGUGUUUUUUUUAACAGAAAAUUAACAGAGGGACCAAUAGCAAUAUUUUUACAAAGUACAGGGACCAAUGCCAAACAAAAAAAAAGUGCAGGGACCAAUGUCAAACAAAAAAAAAGUGCAGGAACCAAUGACACAUUUAAACCUACAAUAUAAGAUUUGGACUUCAUUAUGUGGACUUUGCCACUCUCAAUAGAACCCCAAAAGGGACCACAUUUGAUCAAAUUGAAGUGAUUAAAUAUAUAGUUGAUAUGAAACUAAAAUAAACAAGCACAAAAUAAUUACUUCAAAAUGUUCGUCAAUCAAAAGGGCUGCAAAAAAAUUGUACACUAUCAAGCAAUUAAACAAAACUUCAGAGUAACAAAAACAUUUCACUAAAAAUUACAUGUUAAAUAUAUAUACACACAAUUAUUACACAAUUUUUUUAAGAAGCUAAAAUGAAAUAUAUUACUGAAAGCCUGAAGAUUUCAGCAUAAGGUGUGCCGAAAACCCAGCUGAAAGAGUAUCAAUUACAAUAAAAAAAAUAAAAACAAACGGGGAACAAAAACAGGAAAAAACCAACAAAGAAAGCUACCCUGUUACAUAAUAAUUUCCAAGCAAGGUAAAGAAUUUAACCACCAUAAAUGAUAGGAGAAAACAAAACUAGGACGAUUUGCUUUCAGCCACCAGUAAGAUUGAAGCUUGCUUAACUUUAUCUAACAAUUGAUUAAUUGAAGCUUCUGUUUGGUGAAAAACCCGAGCAUUCCUUUCAUCCACACACAAGAUAACCAUAUAAGAUGAAACACUAUGAGGCAACUAAGCCAAUGAAAAAUACCGUAUCAAAGUUUACAAAAAAAAAAAAUCACAAGCGGGGAAUAAAUUACACACUAUCAAACAAUUACACAAAAACCACAUAGUAACAAAAACAUAGCAGACACAUAACAUAGAUCGGGCUGAUGGAUGGAUAGACCAUAUUAUGAUGCCAAUAAUGGUACCCUCUAAGUUUUAAAAUAAUUAUUAUAGAAUCCCUCAAAAAAUUAUUAUAGAAAUUAUAUGAAAAAAUAGGUAAUUAUUUUAAUACGAGUAGAAUAAGCUCUAUUAAAUAUAAUUAUAUAAAUGGUAAUAAAAAAAAGUCUGGAAUGAAUAAUUUUUCAUGCAGUAUAAAAUAUCACACCUUGACCACAAAUAACAACUAAAUAUCAUAAUUUCAAAUAAAAUAUAUUGGCUUAUUAGAGCCUUACAAUUACCCUCGUAAUAAAAUGACAUACGUAAUCCCUAAAAACAAAUAUUACAUAUGUGAUAUUUUCUCAAGAACCAACAAAAUAAAUCGAGACCAUAUUAUUAAACUCGGGCAUGAUGUCAUAAUCUUAGAGCCUUACAACUCAGUUUAAACAUAAAUAAUAACCCAACAAACUUUCAAGAACACUAUGAUAUAUGUGAUAGAAUAAUUCUCCUCUUUAUUAUCAUGAACACACUUAAAUAGCACUCCUCCUCGGUCAUAUCAUAAGGAUAACUUACACAUAAUUCACACAACAUAAUUAAUAUGUAAAAAGAUAUGAGGUGGAUGAGCUUUAAGUCACUUAAAGUGGUAUGAAAAUAUGUAUAGAAAGAACUAAACAUACAAUAAUACAUUCAUUUAGAGCCUUAGAAGUAUAAACGUUAAGUUAACCAUAAUUAUUGGUUUUUGGUGAUUGUUCAAUUGUCCUUGCGGGUUAUUAGACUUGUAGUUGAAGAAGAAUGAACGUGUAUUCUAUCAGUUAUUCAGAUUCAUUAUGACUUCCAGUCCUCUAUGCUCUCUUAUAUAGUGCUAAAGCUUCAAUCUGGGCAUGGGGUGAGAGAGAAGAGUUCGAGUACAUGAGUGUAAAAUGAUUGUGACGAACGGGAAAGUCAUAUUUCCAAAAUUGAUUCGGGGCUCACUGCGAUGGUUGCAGCCCCUUGAGAGAAUAAUUAAUUAAUGUGCAAAUUUAGAAAUGGGAGAUUAAAACAGUAAUUAGAAACAUUAUUAAGGUCUUGAUUGAUUUAAAUUAUGCUGAGUAUGUGGUAAUUGAUGCCAUGAAUAAAUUUUAUGUUGGGCUUAUGUUUGAUUUGCUGUAAUGACUCUGAUUGAUGAAUUAUUUGAUAAUUGAUGUAAAUGUGAUGUUGACUCUUGUUGAAAUGAAUUUUUGGUAUGCAACAUAUAUAUGAUGACUAUGGAUAUUGAGAUAUUGGUUGGACUAUGAAUAUGUGUUGUUGAAAAUAUUAUAUGUGAAUAUAGUUUGUUGAAUGAGAUGUUAAUUUGAGAUGAAUGAAUAUUUUUAUUACCCUUAUUUGAUUCAGAUGGAUGUGAAUAAUAUGAAAUGAAUGAAUAUUCUUGAUUACCCUUAUCGAUUGUCUUUAAAUUGUGUUUGCUUCUAAGGGGUAUCCUAUGCCAACGAGGGGAGAGAUUAGAUGUAAUGGGUGACACUAUGUUUGAUUCAUGAACAUGUGUAUUGUGGAAUGAUUGAGAAUGUCGUAGUUUCGAUGAUUCAUUAGGGGCUUGCUGCGAUGGUUGUAGCCCUUGAGAGAUAAAUAAGUUAAUGUGCAAACAUGAAGGUGUGAGGUAAAAAAGAGAAAUUAGAAACUUUAUUAAGGUGUUGUUUGAUUUAAAUUAUGCCGAAUGUGUGGUAGUUGAUAUUAUGGAUAAAUUUGAUGAUGUAUUCAUGUUGAAUUAUUCGAUGGGCAAUAAAGUUGUGAUGUGAGUUUUAUUUUUGUGGUGAUAUAUUGUUACUAGUUGUCUAAUGUGAGAUUAUUUAGUGAUGUAGUAAUUAAUGAUUGUGAUGCUUGAAAUUUGUGAUGAGCAUAUGUUUAUUAUCCCUUAGACGAUGAACAUAUUAUUUAUUAUUUGAUCCUUGCUAAGUUAUGUUUUAAUAGUUAUUGUUGUAUAGAUGUAUGUUGGCAACCCUAUUAAUUAGUAUGAAGCUAUUAUGUAUAUUGCUUUCAUAUCAUACUUGCUGGAUUACUUAUUAUGUGAUUGAAAAUUUUGGCUAGUUAUCAUGAGUAUAUAUGACUGAACUGAUGUGACUUUACUGAGACUGAUUGAGACUCAUGAAUUUGAUCGAAUAGUGUGAAGUGCACAUUGUGAAUUGCGAUUAUUAGAUGAAUAUGGACUAAACAAUAAGGUAUAGGGCAUAGCAGAGUGUUUUGUCAUCAUCUAGGUAGGGUCUGACGCACCCAAUGUUUGAGGAAGUACUAAUGAACAAGACAUAUUGUCUCUGGUUGAGGUGGGGGUCUAUGAGGGCAGGGCCAACUUUGAAUAGUCCGUAAGGACUUGGCCAAUCUUGAAUUGUUUGUAGUGACUCGGCCAAUCUUGAAUAGUCUGUAAUGACUCGACCAUUUUAGAAUUGUCCAUCCAUCAUGUGGUGGCAUAGCACUAUCGACCUCCUAACCAAGUACUUCGGAGUAGAAAUGGUACCAAAUAAAGACAUGUCUAGAGUCUAACAGCAUGCAUAUCAUUGUUUGAAUUGUGACUGUGUUAUUAUGAAUGAUGUAGAUUAUUUCGUGAGAGUAUGAUAUUGAGUGUCUAAAAUGUCAUUUGUGACUGUUCCAUUAUGAAUGUUUUUUAUUACCUUGUUAGAAUAUGUUCUUGACUGUCUUGAUUAUUAUUUGUGACUAUCAUGUUAUGACUAUCUUGGAUUGAAUUGGGACAUUAUGUUUGUGAAGGCUUUGAUUCGUAUGUGUAAUGAUUUUCUUGACUAAUGUGAAUUUGGCGGAUAUAGUAUAUUUUUAAGGUUAUGAAUUUUGUAAUAUGAUAUGGUUUAGACUUGAUUUCUCGCGUGUUCUUCUUAUUUAUUUUAUACUAUUACAUGUUCUCGAAACUCACUCCUUCGUUGUUUGUGUUUGCUGGCUUGACCAUGAGGUUGCGAAAUUGCAGUUCUAUAGGUUAUGAUUUCUGGAGUCAAGUACAUGCCUUCUAUGAAGACUUGUCUUGUGUCGCCUGUUAUUUUAGAAAAAAGGUCCACUAUGAUAGGUGACAUCGGGUUGAGAUUAGUUUAUUCUAUUUAAGCUCAGUACUUGUAUUCAAAUUUGUAAUUUUUAAAUGUUAGUCGAAAAAUCAAAUUUUCUUAUUAUUAAUUUUUCAAUUAAUUGAGUAUGAAUUGUAGGUAUAAGUUGUGAUGUCCUUGUCUCAAAAAGUUUUUGAAAAUCUAUAAUUUUAAUAGUCUGAUGUGAGUUAAAAGUUUAUAAAUGCCAAACAAAUUAUUGUGGAAUUUAGGGUGUCACAUUAUUGGUAUUAUUGCAUUAUCCUGUGUACUCAUUUUUUUUAUUAUAUGUGUGUGUGUGCGUGUGCGUGUGUGAGUAAAUUAAAUCUAACAUGCUUCUAAAUCGUUCAAAUAAAUUGCAACAUUGAAAAAAUUAUAAAAAUAACAGUAUUGUAAUGAUCAAACAAAAUGAAAUGCUUACACAUAUUGGAGAAAUAUUUUUUACCUUAACAUGGUUUAAAUAGGCCUACACGAACCUUUAUAACACUCCAUAUGCCCAAAAGGAGUCUUCGGAUAUUGUAUAUAGCAAUCGUGGUCACUAAGACAUGGAUGACUGUUAACUACACCAAAAUAUAAGGAAACAAAACUGAUUAGAAUGUAAAAAAACUUCAGAGACUUAGCCAUUUUUUCACCUUUAUAUAUAACAAGUAUAAACUUGUUGGAUCACUUUAUAUAGUAUAAAGUCUCUUGCUAUUUUUCAUCAAUUAAAUAGAUUUUUUUUGUUACAUCAAUUAAAUAGAUAUUAAUAAUUGUUGCAAGAAAUCUUUUAAGAUAAUAAAAAAUGUUAAAUGUCUCUAAAAAAUACAGAUGAAUCAUAUUUGUCCCUUUAACUCAUAGAACAUAUCUCAAACAAAAAAAAAAUUCUUGUAAUUAGAGUUUAUUUUUAUCGACAACCUUUCAAUAUAUAUUUUUAUUUCUUGGCUAAUCUUUCAUAAUAUAGAGAAGAAACCCAACAUUAUAAUAUGUUGGUAUGAGUAAGAUUGAACUCACAUAUUGAUGACAACCAAUCUUACAUUAUUUUUAGUAGCAUUUAGAGUCAUUUCAGAGUUAUUUAGCAAGUUUUGAUUUGUUUUACUUUAGUUUUUAUAAAUAAAUCAAUGGAUGAGCAUGUAAGAGCUAUUAGGUGUACACGACCUUGAAACAUGUUAAAUCACUUAAGAUAUAACAAGUGAUUUUUUGUGGUAUACUCAUCGUGAACGUUCAAUGAGGAGAAAUGAGACAAGGAAUUAAGAAAAGUUGAAGGUUCAACUACUAGUUGUUGUGUGUUGUAUGCUAUGAGAUAUGCGUCGCACAACUGUGAAGAAAUUGAAAGUGUUUUACCACUACCUCAAUUGCUCACACGCUAGGAGUUGCGCAUUACAUAAGUCAAAUACUAGAAGUAUGGAUUCUGAAUAUAAAUGAUUACAAUUGUUUGGUCAUUGGACUUUAUUGACCGGCCCAAAGGAAACAACAAAUUGCCUAAGAAAUAAGCAGAACCAACCCUAGGCAUAGGCCUAGGGCUAAACCCUAAAGUGUUGGGUUGGGGGUGUGAAAUGAAAUGUUGUUGGGUUGUAGAAAAGGGUGAAACGAUCAUUGAAUUUAUUAAGCUUUGUCGGGUUUGGUUCGUCCUGUCUAAUUUUUUUUUUGUUAUUCUUUUUUAUAAUAAUAUAUGACAAGAUGCAUUUGUCACAGUGUUUUGGAGUUUCAACAUAGUUAAGAUUUCAAAACAUCGCAUUAUGGUGACCUCCAUGAUUAAUGCAUAUCUCAUUCAGCGUUUAUAUAAAAAAAAAAUUAUUAUCUAUUAUAUAAGGGGUCCUUUUUUCAAACUUAGUCUAAGACCCAUAAAAUGUUAGGAACAAGCAUGAAAAUAAGUCAUUCACAUCUACAAAAAGAAACAAAAACAUAGAAAAGAAAAUACUCAUGUAUUCCUUUGUUGUAUCCUAGCUCUCUUUUCUCUCUUCGUAUGACUUCAGCCUUGUCCUCCACUUUGUUUCACUAUUCUCAUGCUUGUUAGGGGGUGUAUAGAAGACGAGUUAGGUCGGGUUAUAUGUGACCCAAACCCGGUCCUCAUAUUAGAUUAGACCAAUUUUUAGACCUAAACUCGUCCAUGAACCCGAUCAAAUCUAGUGAGUUUUAGUCCAACAAGGACCGUACAAUACAAAGACAAGACUGAGUUUCUCCUAAUACAAUUCCCAAAUACAUGCAUUUAAAAAAAAAAAAGAAUUAAUCAUUAAUUUUUUUCUUCAAAACACACAGUUCAAAAACACCUCUUGGGUCAAGUUCAAAAAAAAAAAAAAAUUUAAACUCAAAAUAGUUUGAAACGGUUUGGAAUAUAUAAUCCAAAAUGUCUUUUAGAGUUCAGAUUUUAUAAUUCGAACCGUCUCAGACCGUAGACGGUGAUGUUACACCAAAGAUUGUGACGAUUUGUGGUUUGUUAAUUAAUUUUUUUUUGUAGAUAAACGAAAUGGCAAAGCCAAUAAACUCACACACACAAGUGGAGGUGCUGGGGUUCGAUCCCCAGUCACGACGUCCGACCUAACAAUUUUGAAAUUUUGCCAGUUGAACUAAGACUUGUAGACAAAUUAAAUUUUAAAUGUUAAUUACGUUUCUUUAGACUCAAUUUAUAGUGUUCGGACAUUUUUUAAUAAUAUAAUGUCUACCUUAAAACAGUAAUCAAUUCGUGCAUUUACACAAGUAUUUUAUUAUUUAUAUUAGUUUAAAUGUGUGUUUGGUCCAUGCACUUUCACCAAAUUUUGGUAUUGGUCCCUACGCUUUUUUUUGUUUGACAUUGAUCCUUGUAGUUUGUAAAACUUUUGGUUUUAGUCCUUCUGUUAAGUUUCAGUUAAAAAAAAAAAUCAAAACUAAUGGUGUGCCACGUGGACCAAUCAUUACACGCCGCGUGGCACACAAAAAUAAAAAAAAAUUAUAAUUAGUUUUUUUAUUAUUAUUAUUUGGGUUAAUAGUGUUUUAUCCCCCUGUAAUAUAGGUCCUUUCCUUUUUUAUUUUUGGUUCAAGUAGCCUAGUGGUUAGAACUCACACAAUUAAAUUGUAGAGAAGUGGGGUGUUUGUGGUUCGAACUCCAGCCCCACCAUAUAAUAUGCAAUAUCCCUACCAAUUAAACUAAGCUCACGGGGAUAGGUCAUUUCCAGUUUUACUCUCUGUAAAAUAUUUUUUUUAGUUUUUUCUUUUGGAUCUCAACCCUACAUAUAAU
rnacentral:lncRNA from 1 species